AGUGAACGCUGGCGGUAGGCCUAACACAUGCAAGUCGAACGGCAGCACAGUAAGAGCUUGCUCUUACGGGUGGCGAGUGGCGGACGGGUGAGGGAUACAUCGGAAUCUACUUUUUCGUGGGGGAUAACGUAGGGACACUUACGCUAAUACCGCAUAGGACCUACGGGUGAAAGCAGGGGAUCUUCGGACCUUGCGCGAUUGAAUGAGCCGAUGUCGGAUUAGCUAGUUGGCGGGGUAAAGGCCCACCAAGGCGACGAUCCGUAGCUGGUCUGAGAGGAUGAUCAGCCACACUGGAACUGAGACACGGUCCAGACUCCUACGGGAGGCAGCAGUGGGGAAUAUUGGACAAUGGGCGCAAGCCUGAUCCAGCCAUGCCGCGUGGGUGAAGAAGGUCUUCGGGUUGUAAAGCCCUUUUGUUGGGAAAGAAAAGCAGCAGGUUAAUACCCCGCUGUUCUGACGGUACCAAAAGAAUAAGCACCGGCUAACUUCGUG
rnacentral:rRNA from 1 species